GAACGCGAAGAACCUUACCCACCUUUGACAUGGCAGGAAGUUUCCAGAGAUGGAUUCGUGCCCGAAAGGGAACCUGCACACAGGUGCUGCAUGGCUGUUGUCAGCUCGUGUCGUGAGAUGUUGGGUUAAGUCCCGCAACGAGCGCAACCCUUGCCAUUAGUUGCUACGAAAGGGCACUCUAAUGGGACUGCCGGUGACAAACCGGAGGAAGGUGGGGAUGACGUCAAGUCCUCAUGGCCCUUAUAGGUGGGGCUACACACGUCAUACAAUGGCUGGUACAAAGGGUUGCCAACCCGCGAGGGGGAGCUAAUCCCAUAAAGCCAGUCGUAGUCCGGAUCGCAGUCUGCAACUCGACUGCGUGAAGUCGGAAUCGCUAGUAAUCGUGGAUCAGAAUGUCACGGUGAAUACGUUCCCGGGUCUUGUACACACC
rnacentral:rRNA from 1 species